rnacentral:rRNA from 1 species
CAAUAGCGUAUAUUAAAGUUGUUGCGGUUAAAAAGCUCGUAGUUGGAUUUCUGCUGAGAACGACCGGUCCGCCCUUUGGGUGUGUAUCUGGCUCUUUCUUGGCAUCUUCUUGGUGAACGUUGCUGCACUUGACUGUGUGGAGCGCUACCCAGGACUUUUACUUUGAGGAAAUUAGAGUGUUUCAAGCAGGCAUACGCCUUGAAUACAUUAGCAUGGAAUAAUAAGAUAGGACCUCGGUUCUAUUUUGUUGGUUUCUAGAGCUGAGGUAAUGAUUAAUAGGGAUAGUUGGGGGCAUUCGUAUUUAACUGUCAGAGGUGAAAUUCUUGGAUUUGUUAAAGACGAACUACUGCGAAAGCAUUUGCCAAGGAUGUUUUCGUUGA